rnacentral:lncRNA from 1 species
GUUGACUCUCGAUUCGGAUCCGUGCAUGCAUGUUUGAGAUCUGUAUUAGAUCUAUGCUUAACCGAUUCAUAUGCAUGCUUCCGAUUACGCUUAAAAGUUGACUAUUUUGCCCUUUUUGAUAUAAAACGUGAUUUUUGGAAAAGUGAAAGAGUAGAAAUCUUUAUUAUUAAUUUAUAAACUUGCACCAAAAAUUUGAGAUCAGUUGGUGGUCCAGAUUUUUAGUUAUGGCCGAUAUCGUAAAACUAUAUCUUUAUGUUAAAUAAACGGCGCAUUUAGCGUAUAACCUAUUUAAGGCCACUUUUCGAUAUAAAACUUUUUACCCACUGAUGUUAUAUAAUAUUCUGGGAUUUUUGAAGAUUUUUAUUUAAUUUUUGGCUGAUCGGAUCAUACGUCGCUAAGUCGAUUCGGUUAAUGCCGGUUUUGACCGUUUAAGCCAUAAAAUGAGUUUUAUACAUCCUUUUGACCCCAAACCUUUUUCUACUGAUUUUAUUUGUUAAAUAAAUUAUUUUGAGCAUUCUGGAAAUAUAAAAAUCUCAGCUUUCUUUUAAAAACCCGGAAACGGCUCUAAAUCGCAUUUUUAGCGUUUUUAGCGCAUAGUAAGCGUUAUACUCAUAUUAAACAUAUAAGACUCAUACCUACUGAUGUAUUUAGCAUAUUUUCAUGUAAUAACAGUAAGUAUAAAUUUUUGAACUCAGACUUCCAGUUUUGACAUUUUUAGCCCUUGUGAAAUUACUAAAAUACCCCUACGGUGCAUAGUUUGAUUCUAAAUGAUAAGUUUUGUAUACGGGUCAUACCCUACUGUUAUAAUAUGACAAAUUAGGUAUAUUUACUGUAUAAAUCAGACCUGUAACUCAGAUUUCCAAAUUAACUCUUUUAUAAUCUUUUAAAUGACCAAAAUGCCCUUAUAAGGCAUAAAUUGAGUUUAAAACUAUUCGGGGCAUAAUAGGACAUAACUUGCUGAUAUUAUAUCAUAUUUAAAGCAUAUUAUCUCAGGGAACUUGCAUAUGACUCUUUUGCCUACCCGUAACGCUCUUUUAGCGUUCGGUUCGGUUUAUGUAACUAGUUUGCAUAAAUUGACCGAAACGGGUCAAACGUUAUCAUUUUUAUCUCAAAAUCCAGAAUGUAUUUAGUAUACCCAUAUUAUACAAGUAUUCAAACUUGUCGGGUCUAAAUCACAUUCUAUCCGGUCUUUCGCUUAAUCGUGCGCUUGAACCGUAUCAUCCUUAAAACUAACCGGUCUAAGCUUAGGCUUAAAUAAAGACCCGUUAGGAAUCUAAUAGGUUAUUAUAAACCUUUGUUCCAGAAUAGGAGGCCCAGUAAAAGCUAUCUACACUUACCAAUUGUGAUUCAUACUUACUCAGGUAAAUACAUUUUGACUUAUUUUCCCUAUACGGGCUUGGGGUACGGUAUAUAGAAUACCGCUUGAUCGAGCGUUCAAAUCUUGCACCCUUGGGUACGCAAUUGGAAUAGUUUGUCCGGCUCGUUUAAACAGUCUUGUUUUACUUUAAGCAUUUGGGGGGUUAUUGACCGUGUCCCGGAUAUCCUUGGUAUUAUCUUACGAGAUGGCCACGACCUGAGCAUGGGGUGUAGGCGUACACUCGUCAUGUAUAACUCAUUAAUGUGGUGUGUCAAUUAAUCUUUAACCCGGACAAGAUCCCGGGCUACCAAACGUACGAGUAGCAUGUAAAUCGUUCACAAGUUUAUAUUGCAUAAUUAUCCCAAGUUAAUAAAAAUAUUUAUGCCUUGUGCAUUUAAAUCAAUUUUCAAUCAUUUUUAAAAUGAGUCAGUUAAUUUGUAUUUACCAGUGUAAACUGACGUAUUUUCCCAAAAGGUUAAGUGCAGGUACUAUACGUACUAGGCUGGCUGUUUCCUAAAGAGCGCCCACAAUAGUCUCGCAAGCUCGGACGACAAUAAACUGUUGAACAAUAUAUCUUAUUUUAUUUGAUCCGCCUGUGGAUCCGUUUCAACUACUUGUGAUAUUUAUUAUUACAUUUUAAUUAAAGUUGAAAUGAAUCUAUU